AUAAGUUAAGUAAGGGCGUAUGGCGGAUGCCUAGGCUCUCAGAGACGACGAAGGACGUGAUAAGCUGCGAAAAGCUACGGGGAGGGGCACAUACCUUAUAAUCCGUAGAUAUCCGAAUGGGGCAACCCGGCAUGUUGAAGACAUGUCACCUAGCAAUAGGAGUAAACCCGGUGAACUGAAACAUCUAAGUAACCGGAGGAAGAGAAAACAAUAGUGAUUCCGUUAGUAGUGGCGAGCGAACGCGGAACAGCCCAAACCAAUGUUGUUACGGCAAUAUUGGGGUUGUAGGACCACGAGAUUAGAGACUUAGAGAAUUAGAAUUGUUUGGAAAGACAGACCAAAGAAGGUGAUAGUCCUGUAAAAGUAAUCGAAGUUAAUAUAGUGGUAUCCUGAGUAGUGCGGGACACGAGUAAUCCUGUAUGAAUCCACCGGGACCAUCCGGUAAGGCUAAAUACUCCUGAGAGACCGAUAGUGAACUAGUACCGUGAGGGAAAGGUGAAAAGAACCCUAAGUAAGGGAGUGAAAUAGAUCCUGAAACCGUACGCCUACAAGCGGUCGGAGCACCUAUAUGGUGUGACGGCGUGCCUUUUGCAUAAUGAGCCUACGAGUUACUGUUUCUAGCAAGGUUAAAUAUUUAAGAUAUGGAGCCGUAGCGAAAGCGAGUCUGAAUAGGGCGCUUUAGUUAGUAGUAGUAGACGCGAAACCGGGUGAUCUACCCAUGGGCAGGUUGAAGCUGUGGUAACACAUAGUGGAGGACCGAACCAGUUGACGUUGAAAAGUCUUUGGAUGACCUGUGGGUAGGGGUGAAAGGCCAAUCAAACCCGGAAAUAGCUCGUACUCCCCGAAAUGCAUUUAGGUGCAGCGUUGAGCAAAAGUUUUAUAGAGGUAGAGCUACUGAUUGGAUGCGGGGGCUUCACCGCCUACCAAUUCCUGACAAACUCCGAAUGCUAUAAAAUGUUUCUCAGCAGUGAGGGCAUGGGUGCUAAGGUCCAUGUCCGAGAGGGAAAGAACCCAGACCAUCAGCUAAGGUCCCCAAAUAUAUGUUAAGUUGAAAAAACGAGGUUUGUCUGCCCAGACAGCUAGGAUGUUGGCUUGGAAGCAGCCAUUCAUUUAAAGAGUGCGUAACAGCUCACUAGUCGAGCGGACGAGCAUGGAUAAUAAUCGGGCAUAAACAUAUUACCGAAGCUAUGGAUUAACGUUGAAAGACACGUUAGUGGUAGGGGAGCAUUGUAACCUGCGUAGAAGGUGUGCUGUGAGGCAUGCUGGAGUGGUUACAAAAGAAAAUGUAGGCAUAAGUAACGAUAAUGGGGGCGAGAAACCCCCACACCGAAAGACUAAGGUUUCCUCAGCGAUGCUAAUCAGCUGAGGGUUAGUCGGGUCCUAAGGCGAAUCCGAAGGGAGUAGUCGAUGGACAACAGGUUAAUAUUCCUGUACUUCUUAUAAUUGCGAUGUGGUGACGGAGUAUUGAAAGCACCGCGAACUGACGGAAUAGUUCGUUGAAGACUGUAUCUAUAAGAUCUGUAGGCAAAUCCGCAGAUUUUGGAGAAGGUUGAUAGUACUACAAGGCUUCGGCUGCGUAGAUAGUGUGCCUAAAAGCUUCCAAGAAAAACCUCUAAGCUUCAGAUUAUAAGAACCCGUACCGUAAACCGACACAGGUAGUUGGGAUGAGAAUUCUAAGGUGCUCGAGAGAUUCAUGGCUAAGGAACUAGGCAAAAUAGACCCGUAACUUCGGGAGAAGGGUCGCCCAUCUUCGGAUGGGCCGCAGUGAAAAGGUCCAGGCGACUGUUUAUCAAAAACACAGGGCUUUGCUAAAUUGAAAGAUGAUGUAUAAGGCCUGACACCUGCCCGGUGCUGGAAGGUUAAGUGGAGUUGUUAGCUUCGGCGAAGCAGUGAAAUGAAGCCCCAGUAAACGGCGGCCGUAACUAUAACGGUCCUAAGGUAGCGAAAUUCCUUGUCGGGUAAGUUCCGACCUGCACGAAUGGUGCAACGAUCUGGACACUGUCUCAGCCAUGAGCUCGGUGACAUUGUAGUAUCGGUGAAGAUGCCGAUUACCCGCAGCGGGACGAACAGCCCCCGUGAACCUUUACUAUAGCUUAGUAUCUGUCUCUUAAACCAAUCUUCCGAUGCCAACGAAGGAGAAGAGUGUA
rnacentral:rRNA from 1 species